AGUGAACGCUGGCGGUAGGCCUAACACAUGCAAGUCGAACGGCAGCACAGUAAGAGCUUGCUCUUACGGGUGGCGAGUGGCGGACGGGUGAGGAAUACAUCGGAAUCUACUUUUUCGUGGGGGAUAACGUAGGGAAACUUACGCUAAUACCGCAUACGACCUACGGGUGAAAGCAGGGGAUCUUCGGACCUUGCGCGAUUGAAUGAGCCGAUGUCGGAUUAGCUAGUUGGCGGGGUAAAGGCCCACCAAGGCGACGAUCCGUAGCUGGUCUGAGAGGAUGAUAGGCCACAGUGGAACUGAGCCACGGCCCAGACCCCUACGGGAGGCAGCGGGGGGGAAUUUUGGACAAGGGGCGCAGGCCUGACCCACCCCCCCCGGGGGGGUGAAGAGGGCCUUCGGUUGGAAAAGCCCUUUUGUGGGAAAAAAAAAGCAGCGGUUAAAUCCCCGGCUUUUCUGACGGUCCCAAAAAAAAAAGCCCCGGCUAACUUGGUC
rnacentral:rRNA from 1 species